AACCUGCCCUGAAGUGGGGGACAACAGUUCGAAAGGACUGCUAAUACCGCAUGUGGUCAACCUUUGGCAUCUUAGGUUGACUAAAGGAUUUAUUCGCUUCAGGAUGGGCUUGCGGCCUAUCAGGUAGUUGGUGGGGUAAUGGCCUACCAAGCCGACGACGGGUAGCUGGUCUGAGAGGACGAUCAGCCGGAUUGGGACUGAGAUACGGCCCAGACUCCUACGGGGGGCAGCAAUUAGGAAUCUUGCACAAUGGGGGAAACCCUGAUGCAGCGACGCCGCGUGAAG
rnacentral:rRNA from 1 species